GGCUGAAGGCUCACCGAUAAGCAAGGCGCUGAGAGCCCACUGGAAGAGAGCGAAGACCUCCAGGGCGGUCUUGAGGUCCUUCUUGGAGGGCAGCAGCAUGAUGCCCGAGGUCCCAGCGGCUGCAGGAAACAAGUGCUGAAUUCUCAUUAAUGCUGAAGUGUCCAGGGGUUAAAGAGUGCAAACGUCUGCAGUUUACCUUGAAGUGCAAAUAAAGUCUAUUGGCGGAUCGAUGGCUGGGGGGACGGACGGACAGACACGUGACGACGGCAACAAAACAUUCUCUGUGGAACCCAGAUGAUCAUCGUAAAAGCAAGUUGUCAGGGAUGGUGUUGUGGCACAGCAGGUUAAAGCCAUUGCCGGAAAUGCCAGCAUCCCAUAUCAGAGCCACCAGUUCCAGUCCCGGCUGCUCCACUUCUGAUCCAGCUCCCUGCUAAUGCACCUGGGAAAGCAAUGGAAGAUGGCCCAAGUGCUUGGGCCUCUGCACCCACGUGGGAGAUUUGAAUGAAGAUUCUGGCUCCUGGCUUUGGCCUGGCCCAGCUGCAGCCACUACAGCCACUUGUGGAGGGGACCAGCAGCUGGUAAAUUCCUCUUUCCCUCUCUCCCUCUCUCUCUUCCUCUCUCUCCCUCUCUUUCUUCCUCUCUCUCUCCCUCUCUCCCUCUCUCUCUCCCCCUCCCCCCCUCUCUCCCUCUCUCUCUUCCUCUCUCCCUCUCUCUCGCCCCCCUCUCUCCCUCUCUCUCUCUCCCUGUCUCUCUCUCACUCUGUGUUACUCUGCUUUUCAAAGAAAUA